rnacentral:rRNA from 1 species
CAAUAGCGUAUAUUAAAGUUGUUGCAGUUAAAAAGCUCGUAGUUGGACCUUGGACCUGGACAGGCGGUCCGCCUCACGGCGUGUACUUUCUUGCUGGGUCUUUCCUCUUGGUGAUCUGUUGUUUCGGCAGCAGGGAACCAGGACUUUUACUUUGAAAAAAUUAGAGUGUUCAAAGCAGGCUCGACGCCGGAAUAUAUUAGCAUGGAAUAAUAAAAUAGGACGUGCGGUUCUAUUUUGUUGGUUUUUGGAAUCGCCGUAAUGAUUAAUAGGGACAGUCGGGGGCAUUAGUACUCACAUGCUAGAGGUGAAAUUCUUGGAUUUUGUGAAGACUAACUUCUGCGAAAGCAUUUGCCAAGGAUGUUUUCAUUAA